rnacentral:lncRNA from 1 species
AUGAAUUCAUUACAAAUUACAUAUAGGAAAAUGCUGUGUGCACCAUUCAUUACCCCCCCCCCCCCUCACAUGGAGGUGGGGUCCACACACAAUAAAAUAUUCGUGGCCCCUUUCCAUGUGAGAGGGGUGUAAUGCAUUGUGUACACCUCAUAGUGUACAAAUAGCAUUUCCCUUACAUAUAAUACAAUUUAUAAUGAUGCUAAUAAUCAAGUUUAACUUCUUUUUCUUUUAGUACACAGUAUGCAAAACAAGGUUGUCGUCUCUCCAAGAGCCUGAUUAAUCGACUUAGCCUACUCAAGUGCCGAUUGGGCCAAUUCUCUGCAUACUCAAUAGUACUUUGAGUACCCCUCUCAACCUCCUGGUAAGCAAUUAAAUCUACUAAAUAUUGAUGUCAUUGGAUGCUCAAUAUCUUCUUCAAGAUUUAAACACCUCUUUACCUAUUAAAUCAUAGAUGUAAUGUCUCUCGUCCAGCAGGAAUUGACAUCUUCAAUCAUAUCUUUGCGUGCUUCAAUAAUUUCUUCGAUUUCUAGGGUGGAGGUAGGGGGUCGGAGAAGGGUGAUAUAAUAUAAUUCAUCUUAAUUUUAAUUGAUUUCAUUACGAAGAUAAAACUCUACUUUUACAGCUUUGUAUAUAUGUAUAACACUAAUAUUCACCACGUGGAAUAUAUUUUUCCAGUAUCUGGAACUUCAAUAUAUUUGUGCUCUUUACAUUUUUCCAGUGAUGAUACACGAGAUUUACAUGCAAAAAGGAAAAAUAAGGUAGUCACUUACAAUUAAAAGAUUGGCCGACAAAUCUUCCUUGUUGAUGAUGCAAAACCCUUGGUUAGUGUCACGUAGCCAAAUCUUCCUUGCUGAUGAUGCAAAACCCUUUGUUAGUGUCACGUAUUCAAAGACUCGUUAAUUUGGUGGUUCACCACUGCUCAAGCUUGUCCCAACUGCAUCAACUGAGUUUUAAGGCUAUAUUCUUCAACCUGCUAUAGGUCAAAUAUUAAUUAUAUGAAGCAGCUAUUGCAUAUACCAAUCAUUAAAUAAUAUAAAGAAUACAAGAUGAAAGUACUUGCUUUCAGUUGUACUCAAAACCAACAAAUUUAAGAAAUGGAUAAUCAAACACAAUAAUUUACGAAUAAGUUGGUUUAACAUUCAAUAUACCUUGAGAAUAUCUGAUGACAAAUAAAGCACAAAAAUGAUGAACAGCAAUCGAAAAAAAGAAACACAAAUUUUCAAGGAGCACAAAAUUAUAAUUUAUAAUCAAGAUACAUGUUGUCCUUUCGGUUUACACUAUUCUGUUGUGUAAAUAUCUCAACAUUUAUUUCCUAGUUUCCUUUUCUCCUUGGAAGAAGUUUCUACAGGUUACUGAGCCUAUAGCUUAAUACAUUCAGAAUAUAUCAGAAAUGGGUGUUCAACCAGUUGAAAAGGUGAGUUUAAUUUGCCUCUCUUCUUUAAAUGGGAUUAAAAGAAAAUAUUUAGAUAAAGAGAGAUCUAGAAAGACAGAGACGU